GAACGGCAAGAACCUUACCAGGUCUUGACAUACUCGUGCUAUUCCUAGAGAUAGGAAGUUCCUUCGGGACACGGGAUACAGGUGGUGCAUGGUUGUCGUCAGCUCGUGUCGUGAGAUGUUGGGUUAAGUCCCGCAACGAGCGCAACCCCUAUUGUUAGUUGCCAUCAUUAAGUUGGGCACUCUAACGAGACUGCCGGUGAUAAACCGGAGGAAGGUGGGGAUGACGUCAAAUCAUCAUGCCCCUUAUGACCUGGGCUACACACGUGCUACAAUGGAUGGUACAACGAGUCGCGAGACAGUGAUGUUUAGCUAAUCUCUUAAAACCAUUCUCAGUUCGGAUUGUAGGCUGCAACUCGCCUACAUGAAGUCGGAAUCGCUAGUAAUCGCGGAUCAGCACGCCGCGGUGAAUACGUUCCCGGGUCUUUAACAC
rnacentral:rRNA from 1 species